AGGGGACUCACGUACACACCCAUUCUGAAGGCAAUCGCAUAACACCUUCAGCACGCAUCCAUCGCACAACACCUCAAGCACCCGUUCAUCCACCACGCAACACUCCAUUCAUUCAUCACGCAAGCCUGCAGAGGAACUCCCUCACGCACCGGCUCGCAUAUACCCGGCAGGAGGAAGAACGCAGGCACCCGAGCCGGCAUACACGGAGAGAGGAGGCCGGCGUACAGGGAGCUCGGCGGCUGUGACAUGGACGAGAAGCUCACCUUCCCCGAGGGUAAAACUUUGAUCUAACCCACCCCUUUCCUUGUUCCUUCUUUGCAUAUAGCAUGCACGCACACAGGUCAGGAGCGUUGCCAAAAGCAAUGUUCGCAUGAUCGGACCCCGUCGGAGAUGGAGCCGCCGGACCGGAAGAUGAAGUCGACGUUGCCGGAGAUGGUCUUCACCAAGCCAGCGCCACAAAGAACGACGAGGAGGUCGUCAUCACCACCUGCGGUUCGUCUCGUCACGACGGUUCGGCCAGGAAGACACGGAGCACGCCACGACGCCGCCCACCGUCGAGGUCGCCAGGUCGAUGCCCCGGAGAUUGACGCCGCGGUGGCCACUCCACUCAUCACCGCACGACGAGGACGACGCGUCGCCGGAGCUCAUCUUCACCAAGCCCGCGCUAUGGACGCUAACGCCACUGAGGUCGGUGUCACGGAGGUCGACGCCACGGUGGCCACCCCCACUCAUCACCGCUCGAUGAGGACACGCGUCGCCGGAGCUCAUCUUCACCAAGCCCGCGCUAUGGACGCUGACGCCACCGAGGUCGGUGUCACGGAGGUCGACGCCACGGUGGCCACCCCCACUCAUCACCGCUCGAUGAGGACGACGAGUCGCCGGAGCUCAUCUUCACCAAGCCCGCGCUAUGGACGCUGACGCCACCAAGGUCGAUGUCACGGAGGUCGACGCCACGGUGGCCAUCCCCACUCAUCACCGCUCAAUGAGGACGACGCGUCGCGGGAGCUCGUCUUCACCAAGCCCGCGCUAUGGAUGCUGACGCCAUCGAGGUCGAUGUCCCGGAGGUCAACGCCACGAUGGCCGCCCUCCACUCAUCGCCGCUAGACGAUGAUGCCGUUUAGCCAACCGUGGUGCUCCCCACCGGAUUCUUCACCAAGCUAGCUCCAUGGAGGCCAACGGCACACAAGUCACCAUCACCACUCACGCCCACUUCGCCACGAGGCGCCGUGGAAGGACAACGACACGGAGCAUGCCACGAUGCCGCCCACCGUUCGAUGUCGCCAAGCCGGCGCCAUGGAGGCCGAUGCCACGGAGACCACCCCCACUCCUCGCGCCCACUUCGUCACACGGUGCCACGGAACACAAUGACACAGGGCACGUCACGGCGCCGCCCACCGUCAAUAUCGUCAAGCUGGUGCCUUGGAGGUCGAUGACACGUAGGUCAACCUCACCGCUCUAUGGAGCCCGUCGUCCGCUUCAUCGCGCUGGAGGGACGCCGCUGAAGAUGGUGAUCUGGAGUUCGCCGUCGGGCCAUUCGUUCACUUCAUCAAGAUGGUGCCGUAGAAGUCGACGACGCAGAACUCGCCAUCACACUGCUCACCUCCAUUUCAUCAUGCCGAGGACCACGACAUGGUGCUCGCCACGAUGCCUCCCGGCGUUCAAAUCACCCGUCACACCCUUCGCCCACCUCGACGAGCCGGUACCAUGAAGGACGAAGCCGCGGACCAUGUCAACAUCACCAACUCCUUCACGUGGCAUGACGGUGCUGCUCGCGUCUCCUUCAAGGGAAACGAGAUCCCAUUUGGCAUCGGGGUAGUGCCUAUCCUUCAUCUCGCCCGGACUCGAUGGUGCCUUGGUGAUGGUGUCACGUUAGUCCAGCCAAACAUCAUGAAGUGGUCUACACAAGAACAAGAAGGCAUGCUCCUGAUACAUACUCGUGUGCGUCUAAGGCGUGAAGAUGGCCGUUUGGCUCACCACCUCAUGAAGCAAUGGACGUGGUACUCGGGAUGUCGCCGCACAUGCCGUCCAUUUCCAGCCGGAGGAUUUCGUCUACAUCAAAUGCUAUAGAAGAAUGAAGCUGAACAUUAAGUACGUCUGAAUGUGUGGCAGUGCACUACGUAAGUGGCCUUUGCACAUGCAUGGGCCAUGCACGUAGCCAAUGGCGAGGUGGCAUGCUCACCGCUGGUCGUUGUUCGCUUCAGCGCGUCUUACAUCAUUCAAGAAGAAGAGGUGGAGCUCGUCACAGCGUCGUACAUUCGUGGCGCCGCACGCUCAAGGAAGAGUCCCUGCAAGUGACGCCACAUCGUGAAGAUGACACCUUACAACGGCGCCUGUAUCCUGCUUGUGAAGAUGGUGCCUUGCCGCGGUGCCGCUGCUACACGCGUCACGCUCAUUCAUAGGCCGGAGCCGAGCAGGUUGGCACCGCCCGAGGACAAGGCGCGGCUGCAGGGCGACACGACUUCAACAACAACACCGCUCCUCUAUGAUCUCGUGAGAUGAUGCCUUGACUACGCCGACUGUCGUGGACUCAGCGUCUGGCCGGGACAAGGUGUCGACCACUCAGGCCACGCUGGCGCGAGCAACGCGACAGUCAUCACCGAUGAUGGUCUCCACCGACAAUUACUCUCGCAAGGCGUAGCCCCUUGCACACCCUGAGAAGCUACUGGUCGUCGAGAAGUCCGAGCCGAGCGCGAUCCAUGCUACCCCAACAACAACUCCUCCAACGCCGUCAAGACUGACGAGGCACGACGGCAAGGGCAAGCGCGGCCACCGCAAAGGCCACGCUACUUGCGGCGCGUGUACCGACGAGGACACGGGCUCUGCCGCCGCCCACACACACACAUCGCCAUCAUCAUGCAUGGAGAACGCGAAGCGAAGACGACGAAAACGACCACACAGCUCAAUCGUAGGUAUCCCGCGGAGCAACCCGCGGGAGUAAUUAACCGGGAGCCUUCCGAGGCCCCGGGAACCAGGAGAUCACACAAUCGCCACAGCCAGCUUGGCCGUGCUAGUAGGCCACGGAGCGCACCUUUUUUUAUGGGAUAUUGUAAUUUUAUUUCUCCAAUGAGAUUAAUGAAAUACAUGUUCCCGUA